AUUUCCACAUUUAAUCGAUGUCCGUGCGUUGCAAAUCUGGAUUAUUCCAAUAAAAUUAAAGUCCCGUUCCUACUGUGUUACGCCUCGAUGGUCCGUCUUCUGUAUGUUAAAGCACGGCCAAUAUCAGUGCGCUGCGGAAGUGAUUCCAGCGGAGACUAAAAAAAAAAAAAACAUAAAGCCAACAUUGCAGGUGGCUUGUACUUAUCACCCAUGAGGCCAUGAACUGGCAAGCACUCUAUCUCCAUCGUAAAUGAGUUGUUUGCAAUUGAAAAAUUGACGAACGAAAGUUGAAAAUGAAGAAAGAGAAAGCCAAGUCUAUGGCAGCACAACAAUGCCUUCGAAUGCGACGAAAUGAUAGGAAAUGUUUUUUCUUCCUCCACACUGAAGAAAAAAAGUGCACGUCAUUCCCCGGUUAUUUGAGCUUUUAAUAGAUUCUACUCCAGUCCACCAC
rnacentral:lncRNA from 1 species